GUCAGUGGAACGUGGCAGGCGCGUGCCAACUUGUCCUUGCUGAAGUUGCAUCUGCGAUGUAUCUGGUAACUUCCUUGCUGAUGCCAGUGAAUCGUAUAAGGCGCGUGGCAACUUAGUAUUUGCCGAGUCUUCUUAUGCGUUAUUUCCUGUUUCUUUCAAUAAAAUAUCAUUUUUUUUUAUAAUAGUAACUUUAAUAUAUUAUUUCAUGGUUUGUUUCUCACGGCUAGUUUCUAUUAAUUUCUAAUAUUCUUGCGUUACGUUGUAUUGAUCAUUAUUUAUUCUUUCUUUGUUACGAUCUUCCAUUUUUAUUAUCAUUUAUUAAAUAUUUAUUCCUUCGCUGAAAAUAUGAUUUAUUUUGUAACGCAUAAAGGUUGCUAUAUGCACGUGUUGAUUAUACAAAAUGGCCGCCUGUGAAUGUUCGUAGUAUAUAGUGACAUUUUAUUAAUGUGAAAUCUAUUAUUUAUCCGUUAAUUAUUUGUGACUCUAUUUUAAUAGUUGAUGUAUAAUUGCAGUGGGAAUAAUAUUAUUUGCAUUUAUUUAAAGUGCGUAAUUAUUGUAUGUAUUCCGAUACGCGCGUGUAAGAGCUAUCAUAACAGUCCAAGAUGGCCGCUCGUUCUACAAUUCCAAUCCUUCAACGCUGAGUCUUUUACUUGGAACAGCUACAUGGUGCGCGUUUGGUAUCUUCUGCUUCUUCGUUACAUGUCUAACACUUAUCAAGACUACUUUUACUUAUCCUAGAAUUUUUCUUGUUGCUGCCUUGACUGUUUCGGUAGUAUCUGGUUCAGUAUUCCGUAAGUAUUCACUUAAGUUUGGUAGUAGGCUUCUUGUAACUGCGUCGGCUUUAAUGUAUAUCUGCCGAUGUGAGUAACGAGCUUCUUAUUAUUAUCAAUUUCUAU